rnacentral:rRNA from 1 species
UACGAAGGGGGCGAGCGUUGUUCGGAAUUACUGGGCGUAAAGGGCGCGUAGGCGGCGAACCAAGUCAGAUGUGAAAGUCCUGGGCUUAACCUGGGGACUGCAUUUGAUACUGGUUUGCUUGAAUUCGGGAGAGGAUAGCGGAAUUCCCAGUGUAGAGGUGAAAUUCGUAGAUAUUGGGAAGAACACCCGUGGCUAAGGCGGCUCUCUAGUACGGUACUGACGCUGAGACGCGAAAGCGUGGGGAGCGAACAGG